ensembl:lncRNA
UAUAUAUUGAGUAUAUAUAUAGCACUUAUUGAUCAAGGUUUCUUGAAAGAACAACAGACAGCAAAUUGCACUUUUCCCACUAAUAAAUUUUUGCUCUUUUCUCACAUUUGAUAUCCAAAGCAAUUCAAAGUGAAACAUUAGCCAGUGCUGACAAUAUUUUUUAAAUCCUGUACUAACAGAAUUUACUCAAUUAAGCUUCCUUGUAAUUAUUUUUCAUUGGGCCAUGAAAGAACUGGUAGAAUAUUGUAUCUGAUCCACAUCAGCUAGUGUGUUCAUGUUUUGCAGUUCUACAGGGUCAGGUGAUAUUUGCCCAUUAUAUGAAACAAUUCAACCCAAUUACCUUUCCAAGGACCUCCCUGUGGACUGACCUCUUUCAUGACCUGAUCUCCCACCGACUGCACAGCAGGCUUCAUAUGUCAGUCAUAAUACUGUAUGAUAUAUUGCUGUAAUAUGCCCACAGUGGUUGGAAUUUAAGAGAUUUCAUGAAGGGAUUGCUAAAACAUUUGGAGUCUGGCUCCUUAGAAAAUGUGUAGCUAUUUGUUGAAUCCAUCAUCCUGUCAUAGGUUUAAUGAGGUCUGAAUCUUCUCCCUCUCUAUGUAUUCUGGAGUUCGCAGAGCCAUGACAGUCGCAGUUGAAGGUUCUUCCCAUCUGGCCAUGAUGGAUCAUAUUCAGGCAUGUUUUAAUGGGUUAUUGCAUUCAUUCCACGGUUCCUAAAGUUUGCAGGUUGUUGCCUGCAGUCUGUGCUUUAUCCCUAAGCCUCCUGAAUUCAAACUGGAUGCAUUGGAUCAAGCUUCACUUAAAGAUCUCAGUCAGUCCUCACUGGACAGCAGCAUUUACGUAUAUGUGCAACAGGCAGGAGAAUGAGCAACAAUGCCCUUUGAUUUCAAUCUUCUUUGGCAAUCAGUUAUGAGUAGGUGAAUUUACAUUUUUGGCAAUUUUUUUUUUUGUUUUGAGAGAUAUAUUGUUUGACAGGAAAUAAUGAAUAGAAAUAGCUGAAGUUGAAAGCUGGAUACCUAGUUUUUCCUUUUUAAAUGUAGCUUGACAAUUAUUGGUGAGCAUUAAUGUUGGAGAGGGUUGGCUUCACUAGCUACUGAACACAUUUAUUUAGGCUUGAACUUGAUGCUGUUAGGUGGCAGUGCUACCUGUGAGUAGAGCAGGGCGACAUAUUGUUUCUGGUUUGAUGUGCCUCUGAUGCAGCUGGUGUGGAUUGAAGUGCUAGUUAAAACGGAAGCAUAAUUACAAGUGUGUAAAGAUUCAUCUGAUAGUUGACAUUUAGUCAAAUUUUUCUCUGACAAAAGGAGACAUCAUCUGCACAUCAGCUGCUCCCACAGGAUUUUUACUAUAGCCUGUGUUGUGUUUGCAUCUUGUAAAGGUGUUUACUAUCUCCAGUAUGUAUCUGUACCUCCUCAACAACUGUUGGACAGUUAAGACAUUUCUCCCCUCAUUAUGCAUUUGAUACACGACAAACAGUCAAUUGUGCAAUAAAUAGUCCUUUAAACACAGGUAGAUCUUUCUUGUGCUCCCGCAGUGCCCCUGAGAGUUAAAUUAAGUGUUUGUUUAUUUAGCUUAGCGUGAUAUAUAUGAUGUACACCCUUCAGCAAAAACCAGGUUCUGUCCAAGAUGAUCUGUUGAAACAGGUAUAUGUUCAAAAUUCUUUACUGCCUAGAAAGAUGUCAAUCACAGGAAUCAUACUUUUUCCACUGAUCGCAUCACCCAUGCACCAGGUGCAAUUUUACUUAAUGUACCUGCAAGAAGACCACAUACAGCAUAUUGUAGCUACAAUUGCUAGCUUGAAAGCAAGCCAUAUGUGGUGUUUUUCAAAGCAUGAGCUUACUCAAAAAUGUACUCAGAGUGUCUCAAAAGAUAAACUCUUGCAACUCUCUUAUUUUUGAUGGCUUGGUUCCUGGUCAACAUUAUAUAGAGUUCACUACAGUUUUCAGUGAAAUUGACCUUCAAUGGUAUGAACAGAUCCAUUAGUGAUAGGCAGAUAUUGGAUUACUUACACUUUGUGUGAGUCUUCCCCCGUCAGAAACAUGUUACCCAUGAAUGUCAAUUUCAACCCCUUUUGCAUCACUAAGAGAAACAGUUCAUCCAGCAGCUGGAAAUACUCCUCUAUUACAGAAGUAAGUCAUCCAUAUAACAGAGUAAAACAGAGGAGGAGGAGUACGGGGACCAUUCUGGUGGUGUUCCAGGAUUCACUUGAGGAUGUCCUCAAGUAAAAAGAAAAAGAUAUAUUUAUAAUGUCUCUGCAGAUCAGCUGUGCCAACAUGAUGAGGACUUAUUGCACAGUUACUUUAUUAAAUCUCUUUACGCUUCUUAAGGAGAUUAUGCAAAACGAGGAGGGAGACCAAAUUAUACUCCCUGCCGUUUUUAAUACUGAAAACAGAUUGAGCUUCUGAAAUUGCCUCAAUUGGACUGUGAGAAAAUAAUUUUUGCCUCAGCAUAUUGUUUGCAUAAUAUAUCCAAACACAAUGUUUUCUCAUGAAUUGGGAAAGGAAAUGUUCUCAGAUGUUGCAAGAGAACCACCAUGGAUCAUUGGAGCAUUGCUGCUCACAGGUUGAAAAUCACUGGCUUACAGUAUGUUAUAUCUUGUCUUUGGUGUUGAUUGCCUGAUUGUUAAAAAAAAAACAACAACAACAACCCAUACCCCAAAGAAAUUCUUUGCUUGCAGAGCCCCUUGGCUGAAGUUAGUGCCGCUUUCCUAAAAUGCCAGCCCAUGCUUGAAAGGCUUUAGGUGGCUGUUAGUGCUGAAACUGCAAAUGCUGCCCUGGUGAAGGUUCUAAAUUGUCCUAUGUGGGUGUUUAAGCUUUUGUAUGACUGAUUUGGGCACAGUGUAACCCAAAUUUGCCUAGCAGGGCCUUAAACUGCAACAGUACUCUUACUGACCGGAAUCACUUGACAGGCUGUGAGGAUUCCCACAGAACUCCCAGCAUGCAGCUGCUCUUUGAAAAGGAAUAAUAUUGAAAUGCUAUCCAUUUUAAUUGCAGUCAUGGCACCAAGGUGAUUAUUUUAUUAUCAGUCUUUAGUAGUCAUGCACACUGUAUUAAUUAUGCACUUAUUAUAAAUGGAUGGGAUGUCUCUUUCAAGGUUACAAAAGUUCACUCUUAAGCAUGACCGUGAAUGUUGAAGUUGAUAGAUUUAAAGUAACUGCUAUCUUGUAUCUGCAUUUGCAGUGUAGUGACAGGUUACUGCAUGCUGGAAAAGGAACCAGCUGAAGCUGUUCCCAGCUGUCUGUCCACAGACACAGAGCUCAAAAGAAAGGGGGGUUCCAAGAAUAUAUUGAUGUGCAGGGAGGACCACAAUUACUUGUGUCUGGUUUACUUACAAGGAAGUGAUCAGCUUCAGAUCCUGGACUGAAAAUUAUGACCUUGUUAAGUAGAUUCUGUACCAGAACAAAAAUACCACCCUGUGCCCUGCCCACCACUUCAGACUGUGCUUCCUACAACUAGUAUUUUACAUUAGGCCUGGUGGCAUAAAAGCACUUCAAACAUCGGUGCCAUUUUAUAUGUAAAUAUUAACACUACCGUAUUUAUCAGGGCUUUAAUGUCUCUAAUAUUCUAUGCAUUCUCUAGCACACCCUCUACAUCUUCAUUACUAUAAACAGAAUUAAGAAUAUGGUGGAAUGUACAAGAUCUUUGUCUUGAUAGAGAGUCCUUGAUGUUGUAAAGGAAAAAAGUGUUUGGAAAAUGUUCUUUAACAUUCCUAGGGGAGAGCUGAGGUCUGUGUCCACUCAUCAUAUGAAAUGUGUGAUGUCGGAGGAUUACUUUAGUCAUGAUUCUCAAUUCAACACUGAAAGACACAAGGUUGUUUGAAUGUCACCAGUAAGACUCACUGUCAACAUCUUAUAUUUCCAAGGAACUGUUUUUACCAUCAGAGGUUAAACUCCUUCACAGAUGUGAAAUUAUUAUUAAUGAUUGGUUAAAUGACAAAUUAUCAUACUUGCGAAGACAGUGAACUCACAGGGAAAGCAUGAGCUCUUGUCUAUUCCAUUCUGCAUGCAUGGCACACAUACUGUAGAGUGCAAUGAAAUGAGAUUUCUUAGUGAGUUUGUGUGUUUCGUUCAGUUCUUUCUUACAGAGUGGAAGAAAAGGCAGCCUUGGGUAUUUACUGUUCACUAAGUGGAACACAUCAGCCUUCAGCUUUUGGAUUAACUGUCAAUUAUUGACUAAUGAACUAUUUUAAGACACUGUGAUCUUUGGCAAACCAACAGGUGAGCUUGUGUUUUUGUUCUAUUUAUCCUAUCUCUGUGUAGCUGCAGAUCCAAUGAUGGAGGUUUGAGCUGAUUUCAGAACAGAGUGUCCAGUGUGUUUGUGAGGAAGAUGCAGUGGCUGUCAUUAUGCAGUCCUCACCAUUAGUAUGUAGAGGCCACUUUCAAAAUUUUGACCAGCCAAUCUCCUUCUUCUGUGUAGCAGCACUGUGUAAUUAAUUUAUCCUGGUUGUGGAGCGUAGACGUCGAUCCAUCGCAGGCAAGUGUAAUCGAUGUUAUCUAUCUGGCUGUCUUGCCUGGCACUAGAAGAUGCUUCUCUGUAGAUGCUCUUACAAGAAUCUCUGUGCAGAGACUGCAGCAACAAAUGUUUUAUCACUGCAAUAUGAUUUUUGACAGCACAUAGUGUUUAAUAUCCAACCCAAAUCCAGUCAAACCCAUAUUUCUGUAAUUUCUUAUGUUUUCAUACAAAGUUAGCAAUAGGUUUGUUUUAAUGUUUUUUUUUUUAAUAUAAUUUUUUAAACAUUUUUAUUUGUGUUGUUACAUAUAUUUGUGCAUACACUUGACAGAAAGUUAAAAAUGCUUAACUUUAAAAUUUGUGAAAAUGAAAAUAUUGGAAUGGGACUUGUGUAAAAAAUGUGUUCAGCCCCAUUUUCACAUUUGCUUGUGUCAAUUCUCAUUUAUUUCUGCAUUCGAUAUUUUCAAAAAUAAUGCCAAAAACAUGAAUAAACUUACAGAAAAUUACUUGAGUGCAUUUUUUAAGGACAUCUUUUACAGUUCCAAAAGCGGUGUUCUUUUCUGUUUCUGUUUUUUUCUGGAAUCUCUAUGUCAAGCAAUUUAUUAUACAACACACAAAAUAUGGUCUUUUACACAAAUUUUGAAGCUUAAAGUUAUCAACCAACUAAGAAAGGAUAGAAAAAUAAAUCUGAGCUCUUCUUCAUCAUACCACUUCCCACAGUAUCAAUUUUGCACUCUAGCAUUACUCAUUAUUUUUCUGUACUGCAUGCUAAGUUCUGGAAUU